rnacentral:rRNA from 1 species
CCUACGGGAGGCAGCAGCAGGGAAUAUUGAGCAAUGAGCGAAGGCUUGACACAGCGACACCGCGUGUGGGAUGACGGUUCUAGGAUUGUAAACCACUUUCAGGAGGGAAGAAAAUGACGGUACCUCCACAAGAAGACCCGGCCAACUAUGUGCCAGCAGCCGCGGUAAUACAUAGGGGUCAAGCGUUGUCCGGAUUUAUUGGGCGUAAAGAGCUCGUAGGCGGUUCAACAAGUCGGUCGUAAAAGUUUAGGGCUCAACCCUAAAAUGUCGAUCGAUACUGUUGUGACUAGGAUACGGUAGAGGUGAAUGGAAUUCCGAGUGUAGCGGUGAAAUGCGUAGAUAUUCGGAGGAACACCAAUUGCGAAGGCAGUUCACUGGACCGUGAUCGACGCUGAGGAGCGAAAGCUAGGGGAGCAAACAGGAUUAGAUACCCUGGUAGUCCUAGCUGUAAACGAUGGAUACUAGAUGUAGGAACUGGAUUGACGGUUUCUGUAUCGUAGCUAACGCGUUAAGUAUCCCGCCUGGGGAGUACGGUCGCAAGACUAAAACUUAAAGGAAUUGACGGA